rnacentral:rRNA from 1 species
GAGUUUUGAUCAUGGCUCAGGAUGAACGCUGGCGGCGUGCUUAACACAUGCAAGUCGAACGAGGAAUUUUAAAUGAGACUUCGGUGGAUUUAAAAUUCUUAGUGGCGGACGGGUGAGUAACGCGUGGGCAACCUGCCCUGGUACAGGGGGACAACAGCUGGAAACGGCUGCUAAUACCGCAUAAGACCACGGAGCCGCAUGGCUCAGUGGGAAAAACUCCGGUGGUACAGGAUGGGCCCGCGUUGGAUUAGGUAGUUGGUGAGGUAACGGCCCACCAAGCCGACGAUCCAUAGCCGACCUGAGAGGGUGACCGGCCACGUUGGGACUGAGACACGGCCCAAACUCCUACGGGAGG